rnacentral:misc_RNA from 1 species
AUUAGAGCAAUAUCUCCUAAGAUAAGAGGCAACAAAGAAAAUACAGACCACUUUUUAAGGGAUCUUGUUCAUGUUAUGCAUUCCAUUAAAGGAAGAAAAGAAAAGAAAUAAAAGAAGAGAUUGGCAGAAAAAGAGGUUGAUGAUUUCUUCAAUCAUCUGGGUAUAUACAUACUGUUAGGCACAAUCUAAGAAUGGUUACAUCACACAUUUUACAGGAUAUUCACAGCACACAAUUUCAGCACUUAAUCACAUCACUCAAUCACUCAAUUAUAGCGCACAAAUCUCAAUAUAUUCCAG